rnacentral:tRNA from 1 species
GCCCUAGUGGCUUAGUGGUAUAGCAACAUAGUAUCUAAAGUACUAGAUUCUAUGUUAAAGCCUCGUAAGCUGUAGGUCGAGGGUUCAAAUCCCUCCUAGGGCU